rnacentral:rRNA from 1 species
GACGAACGCUGGCGGCGUGCUUAACACAUGCAAGUCGCACGAAGAGGCGAACGGGUGAGUAACGCGUAAUCAACCUGCCCUUCAGAGGGGGACAACAGUCGGAAACGACUGCUAAUACCGCAUAAUGAAGGAGGGGAGGGGGUCUGAUCAGCUAGUUGGAGGGGUAACGGCCCACCAAGGCGAGGAUCAGUAGCCGGGCUGAGAAGGUGAACGGCCACAUUGGGACUGAGACAAGGCCCAGACUCCUACGGGAGGCAGUAGUGGGGAAUCUUCCGCAAUUGGCGAAAGUCUGACGGAGGCACGCCGCGUGAGUGAUUACGGCCUUCGGGUUGUAAAGCUCUGUUAAUCGGGACGCGGUACCUGAAUAGAAAGCCACGGCUAACUACGUGCCAGCAGCCGCGGUAAUUC